ensembl:lncRNA
GAGAGAUGUGGGAACUUUUUCAUACUGCCUUCUUCCCCUGCCUCAGUUACCCAUGUCUGUCUGCCUUGAAGAAAUGGUUCCUGACAUGAGCACCCUACAGUCUGCCUCCUCCGCCAGCCUGGCCCUUUGACGAUUGCCAAACCUUUCACCUACAGCCCCUUCACUGCUGGGCUUCUUCACGAAUUCCUGAAGCUUUUCCGGUCAAAUCUCAUUCCUUUCUGUGUUUACCCGCUCUGGCAAUCUAGUGUGGUCACAGUUUACUCCCCCUUUUAUGGGACUUUCUGGGAAUUUGCUCUCCCACUCAAACCUGAUAGCAUGUUUGAUAACUGUUUCUUUACAAGAGGUCACUUAAUUGGAGAGUAAAUGUUGAAACUUUCUUCAUCUUUUUGUUUCCUUGUGACUUAGCUGUGUCUAGGAACUUCCAGUGGAACUUAGUGGGAGACCAUGGUUGGAGUUUUUAGGUGAUUAUAUUACAAACUGUUGAGUCUGGUACUCCCCAGUGACUAGCUGAGCUGAGUACACAGGUGUACUCGGUACAUUGAGUGCACAGGUGUUUUGUGUAGGUUUAAGCAUUCCCCAUCUACUUUCUUAUCCCUGGUCCUGUACUAACAACUUGCCUUCCCACCUGCGAUGCACCUGCAGACACGAAGUUGGCUCAGUCGAGAAGGUCUGUUCCUGGAUAGGACCAUCUGCUAUCAUUCUGUAUUCUUUUUGGCUUGAAGGAUUUUUAUAGGCCCCUCUGUGACUGGAUUAUAAAUGAUCACCUGCUUGCCACAUAGGGGGAUGUAUGUAAAACUGGAGCUCAUCUUUUGAUGUAUGGAUGCUGGACAAUGGAGAGGACAUGUUUGACUUUAAGUGAUAGCCUUGGUGCUGAGAGAGCUGAAGCAGUUGGGUCCAUCUGGAAGCAUUUAAAUUCCUAAUUGGCACAUGCUGUACAUCACGUGAUAAAGAAGCCAGGAGAAGAUAUGAAUACAAGAGGGGGUUCUCAUUUAGAAACAUCAUAAAGAACUGAGGAGAAGAUAUGAAUAUAAGAGAGGGCUCUCAUUUAGAAACAUCAAAUACUCCUCCUCUGACUUCUUGAUAGGUUCUUUAAAUUGCAGGGUAAUGAAAGAAGUGCGAGAAACUCAAUUGGGAGUGGAUUACAAAAGACUUUUUCCAUCAAAGUUUUUGUUCAUUGAGAUAAUUGUAGAUUUACAUGCAAUUGUAAGAAAUAACCCAGAGAGAUCCCUUGUGCACUUUUCCAGUAUCCCCCAAUGGUAACAAUUUGCAAAAUUAUAGUAUAAUAUCACAACCACAAUUGAUACAAUCUACUGAUCUUAUUUAAAUUUGUUCCACUUGUAGUCUUUUGUGUGUCUGUGUCUCUGUAUUAAAUUCUACACAAUUUUAUCACCUGUGUAGGUGUGUGUAUCCACUACAACAGGCAAGAUACUGAACAGUUCCAAAACCAUAAGAUCUUUCAUGUUGCCCUUUUGUAGCCACACUCACUUCCUUCUGUCCCCAUUCCCAAACCUUUGGCAACUAUAAUCUGUCUUUCAUUUCUAAAAUUUUGUCACUUCAAAAAUGUCAUAUAAAUGGAAUCAUACAGUAUGUAACGUUUUGGGGUUGGCCUUUUUUUUUUUCUGUAGCUGAGGAAGAUUUUCGCUGAGCUAACAUCUGUGCCAAUCUUCCUUUAUUUUGUUUGUGGGUCACCACCACAACAUGGCUGCCCAGUGGUGUAGAUCCGCACUGGGGAACCAAACCUGGGCCGCCAAAGCAAAGUGCACCAAACUUAACCACCAUGCCGUGGGGCUGGACUCUGGGACUGGCUUUUCCUGCUUUCUAAUUCCCUGGAGAUUCAUCCAAGUUUUUGUGUAUCUAUAGUUCAUUCCUUGUUAUUGCUGAGUAGUAUUCCUUUGCAUGUAUGUGUCACAGUUUUUUUAACCAUCCAUCCCUUGGAGGACAUCUGGGCUGAUUCCUGUUUUUGGCUGUUACAAAUCACCUAUGAACAUUUAUGUGCAGGUUUUUUGUGUGAACAUAAGUUUUCAUUUCUCUGGGACAAAUGCUCAGCAGUGCCUUUGUUGGGUCAUAUAGUAUUCGUAUGUUUAGUUUUUAAGAAACUGCCAAGUGUUUUUCCAGAAUGACUGUACCAUUUACAUUCCCAUUGUAUCCUUGCUAGCAUUUGGUAUUGGCACUAUUUUUUAUUGUAGCCAUUCUGAUAGGUGUGUAGUGAUACCUUAUUGUGGUUUUAGUUUGUAUUUAAACAAUGACUAAUAACGUUAAAUCUUUGCAUGUGCUUAUUUGCCAUCUGAAUAUCUUUUUCAGUGAAAUGUUUUUUUGCAUUUUUUAAUUGGAUUGCUUUUUUCUGUUGAGUUUUGAGAAUUCUUUAUAUAUUUUAGAUACUGGCCCUUUGUCAUAUAUAUGGGUUGCUGAUAUUUUCUUCCAGUCUGUAACUUGUCAUUUCAUGCUCUUCCUGUGGGCUUUUGCAGAACCAAAAAAUUUAAUUUUGGUGAGGUGCAAUUGAUCAGUUUUUCCUUUUAUAGUCAUAAUUUUAGUGUCAAGUCUAGGAGCUCUUUGCAUGGUCCUACAUCCCAAAGAUUUUCUCUCUUUUUUUUUUUUAAAGUUUCAUAGUUAUAUUGUUACAGGCUCUUAACAUCAGCCCUGAUAUCAGUUCCCCACAUUGAACCCAGCGUGUAUGGGGUUAAAACUAAAACCCACCACCCCCUUUCCUGCUUCUCUAGCUCCACUCAUAUGUAAAUACCUGUUUCUUUAAACUUGGACUCUUUGAGCUUUACAACUAAAUGGGAGUUCCAAAUUGUUAAAAGCCCAGGUGGCCUGGAGUUGGAGGCACUCUAAAGUUUAGCUGAUCACGUGUCCUUGAGUUUGCCAGGAAAGCCGCUGUCUCAAGAGUAUCAAGGAGCGGAGGCUUCCCACACCUCAACUCCUGGACUCCCGGUGCUCGAACCUGCCUCAAACAGGAAGACGAGACAAGAGACAACGGCGAAGAACGCCCACCUGCCAUCCUCCUAUCUCACCCUCCCCCCGCCUUGCUGCAAGCAGCCUCUCAAGGCCAAACGCAGGCUGGUGGGAAAGCACCAAGCUGCACAAGCUACAUGUUCCCCCCUCCCCUACCCAAAACCCCAAAUAAAAAUCCCUACCCAUUCCUCAUCGGGGAGCUAGCAAUUUUUGAGGCAUGAGCCCUUGCUUUGCUCCCUGUGCCUGGCAUAGUAAAAACCUUUCCUCUUCCACUCAAGACUCUGUUCUCGUUAUUCGGAUUGGCAUCGGGUUCAGAGACCGAACUUUCGGUUACAAUAUAGUAUAGAGUUAAGUCUUGAGUUAAUUUGUGUAUAACAUGUAAAGUUUAGGUUGACACUGAUUUUUUGUUCUUUGCCUGUGGAUAUCCAAUUGCUCCAGUACUGUUUGCUGAAAAAGAUGUUUCUGUGUAAAAAGGGCCUAAGUUAUAUUAGUGUCAGCAAAAUGCUAUCCUUCGAUUUGGG